rnacentral:rRNA from 1 species
GGCUCAGGACGAACGCUGGCGACGUGCCUAAAACAUGCAAGUCGAACGAGCACUUCGGUGCUAGUGGCGAACGGCGUAGUAAUACAUGAGCAACGUGCCCCUAAGUCUGGGAUAUACGAUGGAAACGUCGGGUAAUACCAGAUGUGCCGGAGGGAGGGCAUCCUUCUUCCAGUAAACGGUUUUUCGCUUAGGGAGCGGCUCAUGGCCUAUCAGGUAGUUGGUGAGGUAAUGGCUCACCAAGCCGACGACGGGUAGCGGGUCUGAGAGGAUGAACCGCACGAGUGGGACUGAGACACGGCCCACACACCUACGGGUGGCAGCAGUUGGGAAUCUUGCGCAAUGGGGGAAACCCUGACGCAGCGACGUCGCGUGGAGGACGAAGGCCUUAGGGUUGUAAACUCCUUUUUUCAGGAAAGACUUAGGACGGUACCUGAAGAAUAAGCUCCGGCUAACUACGUGCCAGCAGCCGCGGUAAGACGUAGGGAGCAAGCGUUGUCCGGAUUUACUGGGCGUAAAGAGCGCGUAGGCGGCCUGUUAAGUGUGAAGUGAAGUCUCUGUGCUCAACACAGAAACUGCUUCGCAUACUGGCAGACUUGAGGAAUGCAGAGGCAACUGGAAUUCCUGGUGUAGCGGUGAAAUGCGUUGAUAUCAGGAGGAACACCCAUGGCGAAGGCAGGUUGCUGGGCAUUAUCUGACGCUGAGGCGCGAAAGCGUGGGUAGCAAACAGGAUUAGAUACCCUGGUAGUCCACGCCCUAAACGAUGGAUACUAGGCGUAAGAGGUAUCGACCCCUCUUGUGUCGCAGCUAACGCAUUAAGUAUCCCGCCUGGGGAGUACGGCCGCAAGGUUGAAAACUCAAG